rnacentral:rRNA from 1 species
CUCAACCUGGGAAUGGCAUUCGAUACUGUCCAGCUAGAGUCUGGUAGAGGGAAGUGGAAUUUCCGGUGUAGCGGUGAAAUGCGUAGAUAUCGGAAGGAACACCAGUGGCGAAGGCGACUUCCUGGACCAAGACUGACGCUGAGGUGCGAAAGCGUGGGUAGCAAACAGGAUUAGAUACCCUGGUAGUCCACGCCGUAAACGAUGAGAACUAGCCGUUGGACCCAUUUAAGGGUUUAGUGGCGCAGCUAACGCAAUAAGUUCUCCGCCUGGGGAGUACGGCCGCAAGGCUAAAACUCAAAGGAAUUGACGGGGGCCCGCACAAGCGGUGGAGCAUGUGGUUUAAUUCGAUGCAACGCGAAGAACCUUACCUGCCCUUGACAUCCUCGGAACUUGGUAGACAUACCUUGGUGCCUUCGGGAGCCG